rnacentral:rRNA from 1 species
UACGGGGGGGGCAAGCGUUGUUCGGAAUUACUGGGCGUAAAGGGCUCGUAGGCGGCCAACUAAGUCAAACGUGAAAUCCCUCGGCUUAACCGGGGAACUGCGCUUGAUACUGGAUGGCUUGAGAUUGGGAGAGGGAUGCGGAAUUCCAGGUGUAGCGGUGAAAUGCGCAGAUAUCAGGAAGAACACCCGUGGCGAAGGCGGCUCUCUGGGACGGUACUGACGCUGAGACGCGAAAGCUAGGGUAGCAAACGGG